AACUGGUAUGACGAAGUCGACCUACUCAAUGUGGUUGAUCUGAUGGGUAAUUACCUUUGAAAGACAGGAAAAACAGGCACCGAGCACCGCAUCUUGGCCUGGUAGCGGCCUUCUUCAGUGUUGGGCCACCAGAUUUCGUCCUUUUUCAACCAAUGGUCUAUAUCUGUAAGGAGUAGGAACACGAGCCAUGUGAAAGAUUCCCGAAAUCAGUGCCUUUGAUGUAGAAGGCCCCACGGAUGAUCGGGAAUACUGUUUCAAUUGCGCUUUGAUUCGUUUGUUAGAUCCACAUUAAAAUUAAUUUUCCAGAUCAAGUAGCCCGAGAAUUGGGAUGGCCAGAACAUUUUCAGAAGCCACGGAGC